UACAGGGUGAUAGCCCCGUACACGAAAACAACCUUGAUGUGAAAUCGAGUAGGGCGGGACACGUGACAUCCUGUCUGAAUAUGGGGGGACCAUCCUCCAAGGCUAAAUACUCCUGACUGACCGAUAGUGAACCAGUACCGUGAGGGAAAGGCGAAAAGAACCCCUGUGAGGGGAGUGAAAUAGAACCUGAAACCGUGUACGUACAAGCAGUGGGAGCCCUUCGGGGUGACUGCGUACCUUUUGUAUAAUGGGUCAGCGACUUACAUUUUGUAGCGAGGUUAACCGUAUAGGGGAGCCGUAGGGAAACCGAGUCUUAACUGGGCGUCUAGUUGCAAGGUGUAGACCCGAAACCGGGUGAUCUAGCCAUGGGCAGGUUGAAGGUUGAGUAACAUCAACUGGAGGACCGAACCCACUAACGUUGCAAAGUUAGGGGAUGACCUGUGGCUGGGGGUGAAAGGCCAAUCAAACUCGGAGAUAGCUGGUUCUCCCCGAAAGCUAUUUAGGUAGCGCCUCGGACGAAUACUACUGGGGGUAGAGCACUGUUUGGGCUAGGGGGUCAUCCCGACUUACCAACCCCAUGCAAACUCCGAAUACCAGUAAGUAAUAUCCGGGAGACACACGGCGGGUGCUAACGUCCGUCGUGAAGAGGGAAACAACCCAGACCGCCGGCUAAGGUCCCAAAGUUCUGGUUAAGUGGGAAACGAUGUGGGAAGGCUCAGACAGCUAGGAUGUUGGCUUAGAAGCAGCCAUCAUUUAAAGAAAGCGUAAUAGCUCACUAGUCGAGUCGGCCUGCGCGGAAGAUGUAACGGGGCUCAAACCAGGCACCGAAGCCGCGGAUUCACACUUAUGUGUGAGUGGUAGGGGAGCGUUCUGUAAGUCUGCGAAGGUGUAUCGAGAGGUAUGCUGGAGAUAUCAGAAGUGCGAAUGCUGACGUAAGUAACGAUAAAGGGGGUGAAAAGCCUCCUCGCCGGAAGACCAAGGGUUCCUGUCCAACGUUAAUCGGGGCAGGGUGAGUCGACCCCUAAGGCGAGGCCGAAAGGCGUAGUCGAUGGGAAGCAGGUUAAUAUUCCUGCACGACUUGUAAUUGCGAUGGGGGGACGGAGAAGGCUAGGUGGGCCAGGCGACGGUUGUCCUGGUGAAAGUGCGUAGGUGGUGUUUCUAGGCAAAUCCGGAGACACAACACUGAGACACGAGACGAACACACUACGGUGUGGAAGCCAUUGAUGCCCUGCUUCCAGGAAAAGCCUCUAAGCUUCAGAUUACAAGUCAUCGUACCCCAAACCGACACAGGUGGUCGGGUAGAGAAUACCAAGGCGCUUGAGAGAACUCGGGUGAAGGAACUAGGCAAAAUAGAACCGUAACUUCGGGAGAAGGUUCGCUCUUGACAGUGAAGUCCCUUGCGGAUGGAGCAGUUGGGAGUCGCAGUGACCAGAUGGCUGGGACUGUUUAUCAAAAACACAGCACUCUGCAAACACGAAAGUGGACGUAUAGGGUGUGACACCUGCCCGGUGCCGGAAGGUUAAUUGAUGGGGUUAGCGCAAGCGAAGCUCUUGAUCGAAGCCCCGGUAAACGGCGGCCGUAACUAUAACGGUCCUAAGGUAGCGAAAUUCCUUGUCGGGUAAGUUCCGACCUGCACGAAUGGUGUAACCAUGGCCAUGCUGUCUCCACCCGAGACUCAGUGAAAUCGAAUUCGCCGUGAAGAUGCGGUGUACCCGCGGCUAGACGGAAAGACCCCGUGAACCUUUACUACAGCUUGGCACUGAACAUUGAACCUACAUGUGUAGGAUAGGUGGGAGGCUUUGAAGGCGUGACGCCAGUUGCGCUGGAGCCGUCCUUGAAAUACCACCCUUGUAUGUUUGAUGUUCUAACGCAGGGCCCUGAAUCGGGCUCGCGGACAGUGCCUGGUGGGUAGUUUGACUGGGGCGGUCUCCUCCCAAAGAGUAACGGAGGAGCACGAAGGUUGGCUAAUCCUGGUCGGACAUCAGGAGGUUAGUGCAAUGGCAUAAGCCAGCUUAACUGCGAGACGGACAGGUCGAGCAGGUACGAAAGUAGGUCAUAGUGAUCCGGUGGUUCUGAAUGGAAGGGCCAUCGCUCAACGGAUAAAAGGUACUCCGGGGAUAACAGGCUGAUACCGCCCAAGAGUUCAUAUCGACGGCGGUGUUUGGCACCUCGAUGUCGGCUCAUCACAUCCUGGGGCUGAAGUCGGUCCCAAGGGUAUGGCUGUUCGCCAUUUAAAGUGGUACGCGAGCUGGGUUCAGAACGUCGUGAGACAGUUCGGUCCCUAUCUGCCGUGGGCGUUGGAUGAUUGAAGGGAGUUGCUCCUAGUACGAGAGGACCGGAGUGAACGAACCUCUGGUGUUCGGGUUGUCACGCCAGUGGCACUGCCCGGUAGCUAAGUUCGGAAUCGAUAACCGCUGAAAGCAUCUAAGCGGGAAGCGAGCCCUGAGAUGAGUCAUCCCUGACCCCUUGAGGGUCCUAAAGGGCCGUUGGAGACCACAACGUUGAUAGGUGGGGUGUGUAAGCGCGGCGACGUGUUGAGCUAACCCAUACUAAUUACCCGUGAGGCUUA
rnacentral:rRNA from 1 species